rnacentral:rRNA from 1 species
CGCGUAGGAAUUUGCCUGAUAGAGGGGGAUAGCCCGGGGAAACUCGGAUUAAUACCGCAUACGCUCUACGGAGGAAAGCAGGGGAUCUUCGGACCUUGCGCUAUCAGAUAAGCCUGCGUGGGAUUAGCUAGUUGGUGAGGUAAAGGCUCACCAAGGCGACGAUCUCUAGCUGGUCUGAGAGGAUGAUCAGCCACACUGGAACUGAGACACGGUCCAGACUCCUACGGGAGGCAGCAGUGGGGAAUAUUGCACAAUGGGCGCAAGCCUGAUGCAGCCAUGCCGCGUGUGUGAAGAAGGCUU